UACAGAGAGUGCAAACGUUGUUCGGAAUCACUGGGCAUAAAGCGCACGUAGGCGGCGCCACAAGUGCGGGGUGAAAUCCCACGGCUUACCCGUGGAACUGCCUGGUAUACUGUGGUGCUAGAGGAUGGUAGGGGAGAGCGGAACUCCUGGUGGAGCGGUGAAAUGCGUAGAGAUCAGGAGGAACACCGGUGGCGAAGGCGGCUCUCUGGUCCAUAACUGACGCUGAGGUGCGAAAGCUAGGGGAGCAAACGGG
rnacentral:rRNA from 1 species